UUUAUGGAGAGUUUGAUCCUGGCUCAGGAUGAACGCUGGCGGCGUGCCUAAUACAUGCAAGUCGAGCGAACGGACGAGAAGCUUGCUUCUCUGAUGUUAGCGGCGGACGGGUGAGUAACACGUGGAUAACCUACCUAUAAGACUGGGAUAACUUCGGGAAACCGGAGCUAAUACCGGAUAAUAUUUUGAACCGCAUGGUUCAAAAGUGAAAGACGGUCUUGCUGUCACUUAUAGAUGGAUCCGCGCUGCAUUAGCUAGUUGGUAAGGUAACGGCUUACCAAGGCAACGAUGCAUAGCCGACCUGAGAGGGUGAUCGGCCACACUGGAACUGAGACACGGUCCAGACUCCUACGGGAGGCAGCAGUAGGGAAUCUUCCGCAAUGGGCGAAAGCCUGACGGAGCAACGCCGCGUGAGUGAUGAAGGUCUUCGGAUCGUAAAACUCUGUUAUUAGGGAAGAACAUAUGUGUAAGUAACUGUGCACAUCUUGACGGUACCUAAUCAGAAAGCCACGGCUAACUACGUGCCAGCAGCCGCGGUAAUACGUAGGUGGCAAGCGUUAUCCGGAAUUAUUGGGCGUAAAGCGCGCGUAGGCGGUUUUUUAAGUCUGAUGUGAAAGCCCACGGCUCAACCGUGGAGGGUCAUUGGAAACUGGAAAACUUGAGUGCAGAAGAGGAAAGUGGAAUUCCAUGUGUAGCGGUGAAAUGCGCAGAGAUAUGGAGGAACACCAGUGGCGAAGGCGACUUUCUGGUCUGUAACUGACGCUGAUGUGCGAAAGCGUGGGGAUCAAACAGGAUUAGAUACCCUGGUAGUCCACGCCGUAAACGAUGAGUGCUAAGUGUUAGGGGGUUUCCGCCCCUUAGUGCUGCAGCUAACGCAUUAAGCACUCCGCCUGGGGAGUACGACCGCAAGGUUGAAACUCAAAGGAAUUGACGGGGACCCG
rnacentral:rRNA from 1 species